CCCUUAGAUGUCCUGGGCCGCACGCGCGUUACACUGAGUGUCUGAGAUACGAGUCUGCCUGGUCCGGCAAGGUCUAGGUAAUCGCUAAAAGACACAUCAUGCUUGGGAUAGAUUAUUGCAAAUAUUAAUCUUGAACGAGGAAUUCCUAGUAAGCGCAAGUCAACAGCUUGCGUUGAUUACGUCCCUGCCCUUUGUACACACCGCCCGUCGCUACUACUGAUUGGAUGUUUAAGCGAGGUUCUCGAACUGCUAGCGACUUAGCUUCGGUGAGGUCGCAGUGUGGGAAGUGAACCUAGCUUUGGUGUCUAGAGGAAGUAAAAGUCGUAACA
rnacentral:rRNA from 1 species